GACGAACGCUGGCGGCGUGCCUAACACAUGCAAGUCGAGCGGUAAGGCUCCUUCGGGGGUACACGAGCGGCGAACGGGUGAGUAACACGUGAGUAAUCUGCCCUUGGCUCUGGGAUAAGCACUCGAAAGGGUGUCUAAUACCGGAUAUGACAGCUCCUCGCAUGGGGUGGUUGUGGAAAGUUUUUUCGGCCAGGGAUGUGCUCGCGGCCUAUCAGCUUGUUGGUGGGGUAAUGGCCUACCAAGGCUUUGACGGGUAGCCGGCCUGAGAGGGUGACCGGUCACACUGGGACUGAGACACGGCCCAGACUCCUACGGGAGGCAGCAGUGGGGAAUAUUGGACAAUGGGCGGAAGCCUGAUCCAGCAACGCCGCGUGAGGGAUGACGGCCUUCGGGUUGUAAACCUCUUUCAGUACCGACGAAGCGUGAGUGACGGUAGGUACAGAAGAAGCACCGGCCAACUACGUGCCAGCCGCCGCCGUAAUAC
rnacentral:rRNA from 1 species